rnacentral:rRNA from 1 species
AUUGAACGCUGGCGGAGUGCUUUACACAUGCAAGUCGAACGGCAGCACGGACUUCGGUCUGGUGGCGAGUGGCGAACGGGUGAGUAAUACAUCGGAACGUGCCCAGUCGUGGGGGAUAACGUAGCGAAAGCUACGCUAAUACCGCAUACGAUCUACGGAUGAAAGCGGGGGAUCGCAAGACCUCGCGCGAUUGGAGCGGCCGAGGGCAGAUUAGGUAGUUGGUGGGGUAAAGGCCUACUAAGCCGACGAUCUGUAGCUGGUCUGAGAGGACGAACAGCCACACUGGGACUGAGACACGGCCCAGACUCCUACGGGAGGCAGCAGUGGGGAAUUUUGGACAAUGGGCGCAAGCCUGAUCCAGCCAUUCCGCGUGCAGGAUGAAGGCCCUCGGGUUGUAAACUGCUUUUGUACGGAACGAAAAGGCUCUGGUUAAUACCUGGGGCUCAUGACGGUACCGUAAGAAUAAGCACCGACUAACUACGUGCCAGCAGCCGCAGUAA